rnacentral:tmRNA from 1 species
GGGGCUGUAUUGGUUUUGACAGCGUAGAUCUUUGAGAGUGUAAGCAUGCAGUGCGUUGUGUAAUCUGCACUUUAAUCUGGAAUGCACAAAAUUCAAAUGGCAAUACUCAGUAUGCCAUGGCUGCCUAAUCAGUGAUUAGAUAGUCAUUAGGGCCGCCGCGCCGGUUGUUCUGUUACCAUGCGCCGCCGCCGACUCAAAAACAAACACAGAAUGCUGUUGUAGAAGGCUGUGACUACAACUUAAGACCAUUCAGCUAAGUAGUGUAUUGGUUGGUUCUUUUCCUGUACGCCGCCGACAAAUAAUAAAGAAAUAAGCAUGUAGAAAGCUUUUGGAGAAUAUGUUUGGACAGGGGUUCGACUCCCCUCAGCUCCACAA